UGGUAACCGUGAACAUGAACUUUUUUAUAAUUUCCCUUGCGAGAAUAGAGCCGCAUUCUUUUGCUGAGCUCUGUCCUGCUUCGGAUCUCUCUGGCUUUCAAUCCCCAUUUCAUUUGCUCUUUGUAAGGCAAUAGUGAACAAAGUGUGCGGAGGUUCGGCAUAAGCAGCCGCCUAGAACACAGAUCCGGGAUGGCAAUUUCCAGUUCCCCCGCUGGAAGGUGUGGCAUAUUGGAUUCAAAGCACUGGCGUGGCAGAUUUUCAACUUGCAACCUGGCUAAUUUCCUGCUUCUUCUGGCACCAAAAGGAGGGCGAUUCGUCUCCUGUGCAGCCAAAGCGACAGCUGUCAAAGUCGCAGGGGCUCCUGUGAGCCAGAACCUAAAAGGUAUCGUAAUCAGCCCCCGGAAAUGAGAUAAAUAGUCCUCCGACAACAACAGAACUCUCGGGUUAAAGCUGCUUUAGGAAACGGGGCUCGCACGAAUACCACUUUCCGGCGGAGAGCGUUUAAAAAUAGGAUAUUGGCUGUGUUGUAACGGGAACACGCACGGCUCGGGGUGUGCCCUCCUCCUCAGGAACCGCGGGGUUACGGCUCCGCCGUGCGCAUCGCGGCGAAUUUCAUCAGCACUAUUACUAUCCCAGCCCUGGGCCGGGAGUGAGAUUUCCGCUACUGGUAACUGCCAUGUUGAAAAAUGAACGUGGAAAUGUUUGUUUCGCGUUGUUGGCUUUUUUUUUUUUUUUUUUUCCCCUCUC